GUCGUUGUGCAGUGAGUCAGUGAGUCAGGCUGUUAACCAGAAGGUUGAUGGUUCAAGCCCACCCAGAGACA